UUUUUUAUAGUAUAUUAGUAUAGUUACCUUCCAAGUAAAAGGACUCCUAAGAGUUUUAUUGUAAGAUAAGAAAUC
rnacentral:tRNA from 1 species